AAAAAAACAAACUCUGAGUUUCCGUGUCCAACGUUUGACCAUCCGUCUUAUUUAAAAAAAUCAAAAAGACAAGUCACAUAUAAAGUAUUAAUCAUGUUUUACCACCUAACAACAAUGAAAAUACUAAUUAUAAAAAAAUUCAUAUAAGACGGAUAAUCAAAUGUUGGAUACGGAAACCCAGGUUUAUCUUUUUU
rnacentral:pre_miRNA from 1 species